ensembl:lncRNA novel transcript
CGCGCGGGCUCGCGGCCGUGCUGCGGGCGUGGCCUCAGCCGCUGAGACCCUGGGGACCGCAGGGCGUGGCGCGGCCUCCGCCCGCUGCACGGAGAGCCCCCCAGAGGCAGCGACACGGCGCUUGGGGUCCGCGGGGCUCCUCCUCCAACUCCGCAGACCUCCGGGGAGGCCUCUUGCUCCCCGAACACCCGGGAGUUCGCUUUCAUUUUUAACGAAUCUCCACAAUCUCUUGUUUGGGAGAUAAUUGCUUCUUUCAGGGGCUUGGAGAACAAAAGCGUCAGCCCAGGGCCCCAGGUCUCUCCGCGGGAGGAGGGCACCCAGGGGCGAUGCGCCGGGCUCUCUCCUUCGCCCUUCUUGGCCCGCUCGCCUUCAGCUCCCACCCGCAGCAGCAACCGCAGCCUGCUUCCGGGGACUGAGCAGCCCUGGGUCAGCCAAGUGUCCUCCCAGCUGCAGCUCAUUGCACUCCCUUGCAGCUGGGAGUGCAGCUGGCAUGCUGCUAGCUCACUGGUCUGGCCCUUCCACUGGAACCCAGCAAGUUUUCUGUGCUUUUUUUCACCACUCU